rnacentral:sRNA from 1 species
CCCGCCGAAGGUUUUCUCCGGUUCGUGAGAGGGACGGAGUCCCGCUCUGUCACGCAGGCUGCCAGGCUGGCGUACAGUGGCGCAAUCUCAGCUCACUGCAACCUCCACCUCCUGGGUUCAAGCGAUUUUCUUGCCUCUGCCUCCUGAGUAGCUGGGAUUACUGGCACACACCACCAAUGCACAGGGAGCUAUGAGACAUCAAUCAAUAUAUGUAAGAUGUACAUCAGUUUCAUCUGGAGAGAUGGGACAACAUGAAGCAGGGAGGGGGCUCCCAGGUCACAGUUGCAGGAAUUUAGCCAAUUCAGAGAUCUUGUUCUCCAUAAUUUGGAAUUUUCCUUCGGAUUUGAUCAAGUUGGAUAGAGUUGGUCAAACCCAAUGGGAAAAAGAUGAAAACAACAAGAAACAGAAACAAACAACAACAGCAACAACAACAAAAACAAUGCAUUUAAUUAAAUGAAGAUGAGCUCAUGCUGGAGUAGGGUGGACUCUGAACCCAGUAGGACAAGCGUCCUUGUUAAGAAGAGGGAAAUCUGGACACACACAGAGCAGAGACCGCCGUGUGAAGAUGGAGGCAGAGAUCGGAGAGAUGCUGCCACAUGCCACAAAUGCCUGGGGCUCCCAGAAACUACACGGAGCCUCCCCCAGCGGCUUCAGCAGGAGCAUGGCUCGGCCAACACUUUAAUCUUGGUCUUCCAGCCUCCAGAACGUUUUCCUAAAAUUCCCUUUUCCACUGGUGUGUGGUGCAAGAUGAGGCACAUUUUCCAUGGAUGGUGAACAGAGGGAGGAGCCUUUUGAUCACAACCCGGUCACCCCACUUCUAAGCCACUGUGCCUCCAGCCCCACAAGACUAAGGAGAGAGAGCGCAGAGUGGUGGAGAGUGAGCUGUGCUGGGACCGUUGUUUCCGUAACCUCGUUUUCUGUGUCCAGCUGACACACCUUCAAAGCGGCAUCAGGUCCUACACUGUAGCUUGCAAUGUGCCUGUUUCCAGAAACCAAGGUGAAAGUGCUUUUAGACAGUGUUCCCAUGCAAGAGUCCCUUCCCAGCUUUUUUCUGGAAAUGCAUGUUUCUCUGAACUCUGAGUCCCAAGAAAAAUCAUUUGAGACAUCAAGAAAAUGGGGGAAGUGCUAAAAUUGUGUGGGAAUUCAAGCUUAACAAUAAACAUCAAGACAUUUUUGGUAAAAAUGAAUCCACUGACAUCGGGGAGGAGCAAGAGAACAGCACGCUGACACUGGGUCAGAGGCUAAGACCGACAUUUCUGGGAACCACUCCCGGAAGGGCACAGAUGAGACACUUUCAGCCUCUCGUCAGCCAGCCUGGCCUGUAGCUGCUGCACGUUAUGAGUGUGUUCCUGGCAUGACUGCUUCUAACAGUGACCAUUUCAUUAAGUUUUUAAGUGCCUGGUAAUUGCUUGGUUAUGACCGGUGUCUGCUCCAUGGCAGCCUCUUCCUGUUUUUGCCCUAAUGAUGAAGGAGGAAGUUUACAUCUUGCUCCCUGGGGACAGGCAGAGAUAGUGUGUGCACUUCCAUCCUACAAGGACCAGAUCUGAACAGUCUGGAGAGAGGAGCUGUGGUGGCAGCAGACAGAUCUCUGCUUCAGGGGCCAGGUGUCCAGAAGAAAUGCUGAGGCAGUGUCACGCUGGUGUCUGUCCUCCUUACAGAAUGCCUGAACAGUUCCAUUGACUCAAAGUGAAGAUCAAAAGAACCAAAGGACAGCAAUAGCCAAGUGUAAUCAUCAGUAACCCUGUGUUCUAUCCACAGGUAAAAAACAAUCAUCCUCUUCAUUAUGGGUUUCAAUUUUAAAUGUAAUACAUUUUUAGAAAUGCCUAUUUCCUUUUAUAAUCUCUUUAUAUAAUCUAGGUUAUUCUGGCUCUUAGGUCUUCAUUUAGCUACUGAAAAGAUUUGAUCUCAAAUCAAUGUUCUAACCACCCAUGACCAUCUCCCACCUCUCUCCCCGUACAGCCCCCAGCAUGAAUUCUGGGAACUCAGGUAAAAUGCUUUCUGGAAACCUGCCUGUAUUAGUCUGUUGUCAAGCUGCUAAUAAACACAUACCCGAAACUGGGUAGUUUAUAAAGGAAAGAGGUUUCCUUUAUAGUUCCACAUGGCUUGGGAGGCCUCACAAUCAUGGUGGAAGGCGAAUGAGAAGUAAAGUCACAUCUUGCAUGGCAGCAGGGAAGAGAGAGUUUGUGUAGGGGAACACCCCUUUAAAAAACCAUCAGAUCUUGUGACACUCAUUCACUGUCACGAGAACAGCACGGGAAAGACCCGCCCCCAUGAUUCAAUUACCUCCCAUGACACAUGGGAAUUAUAGGAGCUACAAUUCACAAUGAGAUUUGGGUGGGGACACAGACAAACCAUGUCACCGCCUAAAACCAACUCAAUAGUCUAAGGAAUUUGACUGGGGAGAAUCUGGAGAGGAUUUAAUUAAUUUGGCAAAAGGAUUAGCAGUUGAAUCUAAUGAGAAAAGAGAAUUCUUGGAGGAAAAAAAGAUGUUUAGUUACACUGAGAAAUUAAAACCUGAAGUAAUUGCCUUUGAGAUUUUUUUCAGGAAAUGAGUAUUGACUGCCUACUGUGUGUCAAAUUAUGUGUUUCAUGUCAAAGACUCCAAAGUAGAUAAGAUAUAGGCCCAGCCUUGGGGAGCUCAUUGAGUCACAGAGAAAGUUUGAAUGUUUCAGAGGAAUCAUCAAGAACAGGGGAUCAGCAAUCUAUUAUAUUUUAAUUGCGUCUUUUCAUGAUUAUAAAAGCAAUGCAUGCCUGCUGAAGAGAAUUUGGAAAAACAAAGAAGAAAUUAAAAAUCAUCUCUGAUCCUGCCACCAGAAAUAACCACUGUUAGCAAUUGUAUCACUUCUGUAGGUCUACAUGGUUAUCAUAAUAAGCUCUAGUAUUGAUUACAUGCAUCUCAUGUACCAGAGAUUAUGCUAGACUCUCAUUUAAUCUGUACAUUAGCCCUAUGAAGUAGGGACCAUCAUUCUCCUCAUUUUACAGAUGAGGAAACAGAGGCUUGGAGAGGUUACUCUGCCUAAAGUCUCAUAGCUAGCGAGUGGCAGAGAUUGGACUCACCCAAGCUUUGUCUUAUUCUCAAGCUCUCAACCAACCCGGUGGUGAGAAGAGCCAGCAGCAAAGCCUGUCAUCUUUGUCUUCUUUUUUUUUCUAACCUCAAAUCAGGGAGAAAAUGCCCUUUGUCAUUAGAAGGGCAAGGCAAUUCUGAAGACAGCCCAGUGGCCUUGUCUCCGAUUUGGCUUUCAGGGGCCUGUCUGAUACCUAUGGAGAGACGAGGGCUGAACAAGCUGUACUCUCAAAACGAAACAAAGCAAAACAAAACUUUAGUCUCUUUAGGGACUCUCUGAUAGUAAUGCAGAGGGAGAAAGGCUUUCUUUGUCUCACUGGGAGGAAGGUUCCCUACGGAAAUUGAAGGCAGUGCCUGUUGACAUAGCGCUGCCACCUGGUGGAAAUAAUGGUGUAGGACAUCAUGUCCAGCACCACUAGCGCUGAGAGACACUCCCUGGGAAGAGAAAUGUUUGGAGAGAAAUUUGCAAGAAGUUGGAAGUCUUGCAGUAGCAGGUAGGAACAAGAAUUAUAACUGCUACUGUGAUCCCCUAAGGCUCCUCACAUCCUCUUAAGGCUUGGAGAAACUCACACUAUGUAUAUUUUCCUGUAUUUUUGAAAAAUGUUUUCCUUUAUGCUUUGUUGUAAUGAAAUUACCUCUGAUGGUCACAUACCUUAAAUAUUUAGUAUAUAUAUGAAUACUAAAUGUCCAUUUUCAGGAGUUAGUUUACCUGCAUCUAAAAUCAGGAAUAUGUCACAGAGUAACUGAGCAAAAAGUGCUGUUAGGUUUGUGCAUUUCACCCUUUGCCUGGGAUGAGAGGACCUCAAUCAUCUUGGUACUAAUGACAGGAAAAGUGCCCUCCUAUCCAUGUGUAUUGGCUACUUGACUCAAGUCUCCUUAUUUCCUUUUCUAGCAUAACAAAGGAUUGUUAUUGUUGUUUUACAUCUGUGUUAAUGAGAUAAAUAAGUUUAAAAUAAAAAGAUGUGUACCAGG